rnacentral:rRNA from 1 species
UACGGAGGAUCCAAGCGUUAUCCGGAUUCACUGGGUUUAAAGGGUGCGUAGGUGGAAUGACAAGUCAGUGGUGAAAACCUGCAGCUUAACUGUAGAACUGCCAUUGAUACUGUUAUUCUUGAGUACAUUUGAUGUGAGCGGAAUGUGUCAUGUAGCGGUGAAAUGCUUAGAUAUGACACAGAACACCAAUUGCGAAGGCAGCUCACAAAACUGUAACUGACACUGAGGCACGAAAUCGUGGGGAGCAAACAGG